rnacentral:rRNA from 1 species
GAUGAACGCUAGCUACAGGCUUAACACAUGCAAGUCGAGGGGCAGCGGUAUCGAAAGCUUGCUUUCGGUAGCCGGCGACCGGCGCACGGGUGAGUAACGCGUAUCGAACCUGCCUCAUACUCGGGAAUAGCCUUGCGAAAGUAAGAUUAAUGCCCGGUGUUUUCAGAGUCCCGCAUGAGGCUUUGAACAAAGAUUUAUCGGUAUGAGAUGGCGAUGCGUCCCAUUAGCUUGUUGGCGGGGUAACGGCCCACCAAGGCAUCGAUGGGUAGGGGUUCUGAGAGGAAGGUCCCCCACAUUGGAACUGAGACACGGUCCAAACUCCUACGGGAGACAGCAGUGAGGAAUAUUGGUCAAUGGGCGGAAGCCUGAACCAGCCAAGUAGCGUGCAGGAAGACGGCCCUCCGGGUUGUAAACUGCUUUUAGUUGGGAAUAAAACGGGGCUCGUGAGCCCCCUUGCAUGUACCAUCAGAAAAAGGACCGGCUAAUUCCGUG